UGCGACUACAGCAAACUUUAAGCUAUCAUAACAUAUAAAAACACAGGGAUUCAAGAAAAUGAAGCUCAAUUAAACAACACCCAAAGUUACUAAGAAUAAUUUUUCUCCCCCUCAAGUCCCACUUUCUACCUGCGAAUUUGGAGAGACAAAAAGAUGGAAAAUUUGCAGGAAAUUAUGCAAUAACAUGUUACCAUACAACAAGUUAAUAUUCUGAGCUGUAGAACUAAGGAAAUAGUCCAUCAGAUGUAACCUUCUAAAAAUCCGAGAGAAAAACUGAGCUAAAAUGCCUGUACCUCCACCAAAGAAUAUAAAGCAACUGUACCUCCACCAAAGAAUAUAAAGCAACUUCCGGAUUUAGUGGUCAUACAGAUCAUGCAAUAUUAUCAAAACAGACUUCAAGAAACUUAUCAAGAAUAUAGAUACUUUUUAUAGUUCUAAUACUUAGAAAUCCACCAGAGGGGGGUUACAGAGCCGUUAAUGCUUCAAUGACUUCAUUGAUGGAGAUUACAGAAAAUCCAACUGAAGUAGGUCAAGUGUCCAUAAAUAAUCUCACUCAAGAGAAGAACAUAUUACUAUAUCAAAUUUCAUGAUCUAGAUAGAUUAAAAUUUCCACCAACAAGACAAGAUUCAGUUAUUCUGCCUUGCUACGUUUAUCAAACUUGAAACAUACCUCUUCUUUGUUUUGUUCUAUGAUGCUUUUGUGUCCUAAGUUUCACUACUUGAUUCUCUUGCAUAGUCCUCCGCAGCUUUUCACUCAGUAUUCCAAAAGACUCCUCAAGGGCU
rnacentral:lncRNA from 1 species